rnacentral:rRNA from 1 species
UACAGAGGUCUCAAGCGUUGUUCGGAUUCAUUGGGCGUAAAGGGUGCGUAGGCGGCGCGGUAAGUCGGGUGUGAAAUCUCGGAGCUUAACUCCGAAACUGCAUUCGAUACUGCCGUGCUUGAGGACUGGAGAGGAGACUGGAAUUUACGGUGUAGCGGUGAAAUGCGUAGAUAUCUGGAGGAACACCGGUGGCGAAAGGCGGCGAUCCUGGACCGGUAUUGACGCUGAGGUGCGAAAGCGUGGGGAGCAAACGGG